GACGAACGCUGGCGGCGUGCUUAACACAUGCAAGUCGAGCGGAGCGGCGAACGGGUGAGUAACGCGUGAGUAACUGCCCCCCUCUCUGGGAUAACAGUUGGAAACGGCUGCUAAUACCGGAUAGUGGGGGAUGACUCGCGUCCUAUCAGCUUGUUGGUGGGGUAGUGGCCUACCAAGGCGACGACGGGUAGCCGGCCUGAGAGGGCGACCGGCCACACUGGGCUGAGAUACGGCCCAGACUCCUACGGGAGGCAGCAGUGGGGAAUAUUGCACAAUGGGGGAAAGCCUGAUGCAGCAACGCCGCGUGAGUGAAGAAGGUUUUCGGAUCGUAAAGCUCUUUUGUAAGGGAAGGAGUAUCUACUCCAGGCUUGACGGUAUCUUACGAGAAAGCCACGGCUAACUACGUGCCAGCAGCCGCGGUAAUAC
rnacentral:rRNA from 1 species